UACGUAGGGGGGCGAGCGUUGUCCGAAGUUACUGGGCGUAAAGAGUACGUAGGUGGCUUGUUAAGAUACAUCUGAAAGGUGACAGCUCAACUGUCAAUGGUGGUGUAAGACUGGCAGGCUUGAGGCAAGCAGAAGAGUGUGGAACUCCGAGUGUAGCGGUGGAAUGCGUAGAGAUUCGGAAGAACACCCAUGGCGAAGGCAGCACUCUGGGCUUGAACCGCAAGGUGAACCUGACACUGAGGUACGAAAGCCAGGGGAGCGAACGGG
rnacentral:rRNA from 1 species